rnacentral:rRNA from 1 species
CCUACGGGGGGCAGCAGUGGGGAAUAUUGGACAAUGGGGGCAACCCUGAUCCAGCCAUGCCGCGUGAAUGAUGAAGGCCUUAGGGUUGUAAAAUUCUUUCGCUAGGGAAGAUAAUGACGGUACCUAGUAAAGAAGCCCCGGCUAACUCCGUGCCAGCAGCCGCGGUAAUACGGAGGGGGCUAGCGUUGUUCGGAAUUACUGGGCGUAAAGCGUGCGUAGGCGGAUUGGAAAGUUAGGUGUGAAAUCCCAGGGCUCAACCCUGGAACUGCACUUAAAACUGCCAGUCUAGAGUUCUGGAGAGGUAAGUGGAAUUCCUAGUGUAGAGGUGAAAUUCGUAGAUAUUAGGAGGAACACCAGAGGCGAAGGCGGCUUACUGGACAGAUACUGACGCUGAGGCACGAAAGUGUGGGGAGCAAACAGGAUUAGAUACCCCUGUAGUC